rnacentral:rRNA from 1 species
UACGUAGGGAGCAAGCGUUGUCCGGAAUCAUUGGGCGUAAAGCGCGCGUAGGUGGCCUCAUAAGUCCGCUGUGAAAGUCAAAGGCUCAACCUUUGAAAGCCGGUGGAUACUGUGAGGCUAGAGUACGGAAGAGGCGAGUGGAAUUCCUGGUGUAGCGGUGGAAUGCGCAGAUAUCAGGAGGAACACCAAUAGCGAAGGCAGCUCGCUGGGACGUUACUGACGCUGAGGUGCGAAAGCGUGGGGAGCAAACAGG